rnacentral:lncRNA from 1 species
UAAAAAUAGGGAAGAAACUAGAAAGCCCUUAAACAUAGGAGAAACCUAAUCGCCCUAAAAUAACUAAAUCGUCCGACCGACCGACCGACCAUUCUCAGGCAGUGAUCCAUCUCGAUCGACGACCAGCCAACAUUUAUCCACAGUCUCCUGACUCCGAUCUUCACUGAGUCUUCGGCUUCGCGGUAUCUUGACGUCUUGUUCGCUUUAGUCCUCUCAAACUCUCCUCGUCGGUGAGAUUUCUAUUAUCAUCUUCUCCAUUACUCCUGGAAUUCUCAAAUCCAUCUACAAGAAAGUUAUAAUUUAAAAUCGAGUUUAGGCCUCUGUGGAAUGUUUGAUUUUUAUUCAAUUUGGGAGUUCAGUUCCUACAAUCUAUUGUGACCUAGAUUUCCUAUUUACAUGCAAAUUGAUUGCAUAAACGAUCAUCUGGGAAAUUUCAGAGUUUAUUCCAUUGUUUGAUUAUCGGCAAAGUGAAACCCCCAAUUCAGUUACCUGUCUGUUGCUGUAAAAAUACCAUCUUUUCCCAAACCUUGAAGUUUUUCUGAGCAUUGUUAUGUGUAAACAACAUGAUGAAUGUGGCCAUGUGGAGGAUAAACUUAAUAUUUUUGAAGGUUUCUGAAACCGAGAUGAAAGGCAGGGGUGUGUGGAAACCUGAGACUAGACAGAUGAGUUUUUUAGGGAGUGUGCGAGUUAUUUUUGUUUUUAUUACGAUUUGUGUUAAUUGUAACCUUAGGACGUGCCUCUAUAUGGGGUUAGGUUCAGCUGGGCUCACUGCGCGGUACCUUACCUCUAUACCCUCCGAUGCAGUAUCUACCGUCUUCCCAUGCCCUGCCUCCCGUUCAGCUCCCUCCCAUAACGGUGUCCAAUCUCGUCCCGAAUCCACAUGCCCGGCCUGCUACAGAGGUAUGCCUAGCGUCGUAUUGCUCCUCACUGCUCGUACGACCCCCGCCCGUCCAAUCGGACACCCAUCGAGCGGCCACCGUCUAAUCGUCAUGCCCGCUGGUGAACACCCACUGUCCGAUAAGAAACAUGAGCUGAACAUCCAUUGAAUUUACAUUUGAUUUCUCCCAUCCGUUUCUAAAUUCUCAAUUCCAAUCUCCCAGGAGGAGAAAGAAGAGGAGUGAGGAUUGGAGAUGGAGGCGAGGCCAGAAGUGCUCGUUGGAUCGAUUGACCAAGGAACAACAAGUACGAGAUUUAUCAUCUACGACGGUGAUGCCGAUGCUAUUAGUUCGCAUCAGAUGGAGUUCACACAGCCCGAAGCUGGGUAUGUUUCUUCGUCAUCUUCUUCUUUUACGCAUGUUACUGUUUAUGGAAAAAGUUGAGGAUUUUCUGAUUUGCUUGGAAUACGAGCAGAUGGGUGGAGCAUGAUCCUAUGGAGAUUUUGGAGAGUGUUAGGGUUUGUAUGAACAAAGCGAUGGAAAAGGCGAGUGAUGAUGGUUACAAUGUUUUUAAUGGUGGAAUCAAGACGAUUGGGAUCACUAACCAGAGAGAAACCACUGUUGUCUGGAGUAAGUCUACUGGUUUGCCUUUGUAUAACGCUAUUGUUUGGAUGGAUGUUCGAACAAGCUCUAUCUGCAGGUUAGAGUAAUAGAAUUUGGGAUCUAUUUUUACUCAUUUUUUUUAUCCCUUUUUAUUCCGAAUUCUCAUGUUUUUUAGGGAUUCCCCAUUGCUAUGAAUCUCAAUUGGAUCAAUACCCAUAUCUCAAAUUAUUCGAAAGAGAAUGAUCUGAUCUGAUUAUUGGUAUUGAUGUUGUUGGGGGUGAUGCAGGAGAUUAGAGAAAGAGCUGUCAGGAGGAAGAACACAUUUUGUUGAAACUACUGGUUUGCCUAUAAGCACCUACUUCAGUGCACUUAAGAUAUUAUGGUUAAUGGAGAACAUUGAUAUUGUAAGGACUUCUAUAGACUCCGGUGAUGCUCUUUUCGGUACCAUCGACACUUGGCUGAUUUGGAAUCUCACAGGAGGUUCCAAACGUGGGGGAAUCCAUGUCACAGAUUGCUCCAAUGCUUCGAGAACCAUGCUUAUGAAUCUCAACACCUUAUUAUGGGACAAAUCAACAUUGGCACAACUCGGUAUUCCGUCCACAAUUCUCCCGAAGAUAAUCACUAAUUCGGAGUUGAUUGGAGAGAUAACCACCGGAUGGCCGCUCUCAGGCAUCUCUAUAGCCGGUUGUCUUGGUGAUCAACACUCUGCAAUGCUUGGACAACUGUGCCGGAAAGGUCAAGCCAAGUGCACUUAUGGAACUGGUGCUUUCAUAUUGUUGAACACUGGAGAGGAGGUGGUUCAAUCACAUCAUGGAUUGCUAAGUACAAUUUCUUAUAAACUUGGUCCCGGGGCACCCACAAAUUAUGCAUUGGAAGGAUCGAUUGCCAUUGCCGGAGCGGCUGUUCAGUGGCUCAGGGAUGGUAUGGGUAUAAUCCAAUCAGCGUCUGAAAUAGAGGAAAUGGCCAAUUCUGUUGAAAACACUGGUGGUGUGUACUUUGUUCCGGCAUUCAAUGGAUUGUUUGCACCUUGGUGGCGUGAUGAUGCAAGAGGAAUAUGCAUAGGCUUGACAAGGUUCACCAGCAAAGGCCACAUUGCUAGAGCCGUGCUUGAGAGUAUGUGUUUUCAGGUUAAAGAUGUGCUGAAGUCUAUGCACCAAGAUGCCAAGGACCAUGGAGAUGAAGACAAGGGCAACGAGGAGGAGUUCUUUCUUAGAGUUGAUGGUGGUGCAACUGUGAACAAUCUUUUGAUGCAAAUCCAGGUUGGUGUGGAAGGAUAAAACUCUUAAGUGAUAUACCAGAGUCUAUGCAUAGCCAAUUUAAUCAAUUGAACCAUAAACUCAAUUCAAGCCUAAGUAUUGUAAUUUGUUAAACCUGUUAUUUUAUGUUUGCAGGCUGAUAUUUUGGGGGAUCCAGUGUUUCGACCGGCUGAUACAGAGACUACAGCUCUUGGGGCAGCUUAUGCGGCUGGAUUGGCUAUGGGCGUGUGGACAGAAGAUAAGAUAUUUCUAGGUGAGGGUAAAAAGAAGGCCAAGGUGUUUCAACCCAACAUGGAUGAGGAAAGGCGUGAUAACAAAUAUGCAUCUUGGCAGAAAGCUGUGUCUAGAACCUUUGAUUUGUCUGAUCUUUCUUUGUAGUAAACAUAUGGAAGUUGAUUCAAACCUGUUCCUUUUAGUUUAGUAUUCAAACAUUAUGUUAUUUUUUUAUGCAAAAUAAGAAUAAAAUUUUAAUGUAAUAGCAACCAUGACACAUUGAUAAAUUCCAACUGGAUAAACUAAUUCAAGCUGCAUUACCCUUAUCUUUAAUUCUACAUUUUACCUGAAACACAAAGUUCAGAAAUUUACUACCACACGCAACAUACCAAGUGAUAUAAUAAAUGUAAAGGUUUAUGUGAAAAUUUGAAACUAUCAUACAUAUAAUUUAUACAGUGCCAUACACAAAUGGUGAACAAUAUUUCUCAGGCUCACAACUGCUUGUAGCCUGUAGGUAUAAGGAGCUGAAUGAAUUAACUUUUGAGAACUGGCAUAUUAAAUAUCACGAUAAAGAGGUUGUGCUGUCCAUUUGAGAGCUAAGUUAAGUGUUCCUGAUUUGCUGCCCUCUAAAGGGAAGUUGUCUUCAUAUUCACCUUCCAUUAUAACCUUUGUCAAUGUAAUGAUGCAUCUACCAAUGUAGUCCUGAGUUUAACAAAGAUAUAAUAUGAAAAUUAUAUAGACCAAAAAUCACCUUCCGAUAUUCAAGUGAUUUGUUUGUUUGCAAAUCUUAAGAUAUUGAAUCAUUUCCAAAGCAACUGUUACCUUUCCGAAUGUAUCAUGAUCCCAGACCUCCACCAUAAGCAUAUCGUGUAGGCCAUCUUCGACAACAAAAUCAAAUGUUUGAUUCCAAGCUGGAUUUAAGCUUUCAUUGACAACCUGCAAAAUAUAAAAUUCAGUGAAACUAGACAAGUAAAAUUGAGAAAUAACAUUUCAUGGAGAAGAAAUAGAGACCCUUGUUUUGUUUUUUGAUUCUGAUUUCUUCAUUUGUAGCACAACAUAGGGUUCAGCUUUUCCCAUGAUAUCCAUUGAAGGUAAAUUUUCUGCUGAUACAACAGUAAUAGAAAGAACUCCACGGAUAAUAAUAUCUUUUUUCUUUUUGGGAGUUGGGAUCAAUCGAUCUGCAUCAGCAGCUAACAUUCCAUUUUCUCCACUAUUAAGGGCUUUCUCUAAAGAUGUCAUUGAAUACUUCUGAUUGGAGAAAGGAUUCAUUAACUCAUUUUCAACACCAUUUGGACAGUAUAAAAGCUCUACAUGAACCUAUAAAAAGAUGGAUACAAUUUAGAUCAAGUCAUUUUUUAUAACUAAAUGAUUAUUUCAAGAUCCAAGACCCAAGGUAAAAAUUAAUAAUGCACAUGUUGUAAUGACCUCGCCCCUGUAUUUUGUAUCUCUUUGGACGUCCAAAUCCUUCACAAGCUUUAGCCACAUAUUUUUUAGUUUCCCAGGUUCAAGAUCAUUCAAGUAUACUCUUGUGCACCCAAUCAGUUCAGCUGCACCCAAUCCUUCGUCAUCAUAUACCUUUAUCACCAAAUUUUGUGUAGAAGCAUCCUCAACGAUAAAUUCAAAGUGUUCAUUCCAGAUAGGAUUCAGGUCAUUGUUCUGCGAAAGUUAAAUGUCAGUCUUUUAAGCACAAUAUCGCAGAAAGAAGAUAUUCUCAGUUUCUCACUUAUGCUUUCAAAAAAAAGAUAUUCACACUUACUAUUGUUUUGCUUUUUUUAAUUCUAUCCUUUAUUGGCCGAACAUACACCUUUGCAAAAGGAUCAGAUUUUCCAACAAUGUCCUUAUUUGUUAAACCUCUUGCCUGGACAAGUUUUACUUCUAAUAUUCCAGCAGGUUUCAGCUCAAGAUCACUUCAACAAAAUAAUUAUUGUUAAAAAUUUGAAAUUAAUGCAUCAAGCAAGAACAAGAAUAUUACCAACAACUGAACUAUAAUAACAAGUACCUGUAAUCACCGGGUAUGAUAGGGAUAAUUAUCCUCACUGGCCAAGUUAAACUAUCUUCAAGGGCAUUGUGUAUAGUUUCCUGCAUAGUCACACGAGCCCUGCGAUGAUUUUUAAUAAUAAUAAAGAAACAUGAUUACAUGCAUAAGUAUAAUAUUUUCCAACCUCUAUAGCAUCUGAAAGUCCAGGAAUUGAUGAAACCUCUCCACCAAUAACCUUUAAAGUAAAAUCAAGCUUUUUCUGAAGUCAAGAGACAAGGUUAAAAUACAAGUAUCAAGGUGCGGGCCGAAGAGUUAAUCUAUAGAAAGUCAGACCUUUUCUCUCAUUGAAAAAGAAACUGCACCAAAACAGGGGAACUGAUCCAUCAAUGGCUUAAAAAUUAAACGAAAUACUCCCGUGAAACCAAUGUUCUUCACCUGACAUGAAAAAUUGGUAGCGUAAUCACCAAUGCCAAUGCUAUUAUAUCCAAAAUAAGACUCAAAGCAUUGAAUUUACAAAAUCACAUAUACAUUGAAAUUAACAGAAUUAGUUUUGAUGUUUAAAUCUACAAAAUCAAUGUAGAAAAUUACAGUUUUUUAUACUCAAUAACUUGGUUAAGAGGUAAAAAUUUAUUUGUAUGAUAGAAGAGGCUAGGGGUUUAAUCCCCAUGAACACCAAAGUAUCAAUUAUUUAUCAUCAUCUAAAAAAACUGUUUUAAGACGAUAAAACUUGAUAUCCGUGAGUUUUGAAUCCCCAACCGAAAGUAUUCACAUGAUGAGGGGGUUUUAUCACUUCAUAACUAUACCAAGUGAUUGUAGACCAUGUAAAUUUCUAUUGAUUGUGUAUAUAGUACAUGGAUUACCUGUAUGGGUAGGGCAACCCCUAACUUUGUACGAAUAUCAAGUACAAUAUUUUUGGGGGUUUUUGGGGGGGGGUGGCGGUGGAGAGUUGGAACGUAAUAAAAAGAGGGAGAAAAAAAAACAAUCAAGUGUACCUGCCUUCGGCGAUCUUGAUUCCUGAGUUGUCGUCCACUGUCGGACUGAAAGUAGGGAUUUUUUGGCUACACUGCUUCAAACAUCGGCGGUGAAGAAUGUCGGAAUCGGGAAUAGAACGACUGAAUUUUUUUUUGGGGAAGAAGAGAAGUCAGUGAAUCGAAAUGCAAUCUGAUGGAUUAAAUAUGCAAGGACAGCGAUAAGGUGAAUGGGUAUGGUCUUGCAAGUAUAGGCAUUACCUCGUACGUACUACAUCGCGUCGACCGUUCCAAAUUGACAUCACCGUUCUGUAAAUUAAUCGCGGAAUGAUACUAUUGCAUAGCAGCGAAAAACAGGGAUUUUAUUGCGGACGUACACGGUACACAGUCGACGGACACGCCACAGCAGAGGAAGACGAUUGGACGGCCAGGAACCGGAGCACGCAUUUAACGGCCGGAUGAUGUGCCGUAAGACGUCCCGUUCCAGAACACGUCCCGUUCUGGAACAGUUUCCUGUUUUCUAUUUUUUUUGUAAAAUACACAAGCUAACAUUUAUAAAAUAUUUAGUGGAUGAUUUUAGAAUAUAGAUAUAAAGGAAGGGAGAAAGCGAAAUUUUCAUAUUAAAAAGGGAUAAAAAUAGGGAUGAAACUAGAAAGCCCUUAAACAUAGGAGAAACCUAAUCGCCCUAAAAUAACUAAAUCGUCCGACCGACCAUUCUCAGGCAGUGAUCCAUCUCGAUCGACGACCAGCCAACAUUUAUCCACAGUCUCCUGACUCCGAUCUUCACUGAGUCUUCGGCUUCGCGGUAUCUUGACGUCUUGUUCGCUUUAGUCCUCUCAAACUCUCCUCGUCGGUGAGAUUUCUAUUAUCAUCUUCUCCAUUACUCCUGGAAUUCUCAAAUCCAUCUACAAGAAAGUUAUAAUUUAAAAUCGAGUUUAGGCCUCUGUGGAAUGUUUGAUUUUUAUUCAAUUUGGGAGUUCAGUUCCUACAAUCUAUUGUGACCUAGAUUUCCUAUUUACAUGCAAAUUGAUUGCAUAAACGAUCAUCUGGGAAAUUUCAGAGUUUAUUCCAUUGUUUGAUUAUCGGCAAAGUGAAACCCCCAAUUCAGUUACCUGUCUGUUGCUGUAAAAAU